ACCUCAUAUCUCACCCUCUUGGCCGGUCACCUCUCUAUUCAUUUGCUUCUUUCUUUUUCUCAACAACACAUACACUCCUCUUCUCCACUCUCCCACCAGUACACUCCAAAGCACCACCUCCACCAUUAUUUUUCCGGCAAGGAUCACUAGAAAACUUCAUAGGAAAAACUAAUGCUCACUCAUCUCUACUUUUUGAGGUUCUAGCUAAUCUUAUUUGGAGAUUGGAAAAUUAGGCUUUUGCGAGUUGCAAGAGUAGGCAACUAUCGUUUUGAGACAGCUUUUUGGUGGCUAGCAAUAGUUAGACAAAUUGCUAAUGGAGGCUGACUUUUGUGAUGGAGAUAAUUGAUGAUGUAUAACUUAAGAGUAGGCUUGACUCAAUUCUUUUGUAUCUAAUAGUGGUUAUGACUUUAUUUCCACUAAUGGGAUAAGUUGAUGAUAUGUAACUAUUUAUUCAGGCCUCCAUUCUUUUGUGGCCAAGGGUUAUUGUAUUUAUUGCAUAGAGCUCUGACUUACUUUGGAAGUAUAUUUAAUGAAACUAGUCACUAACCCGUGCAAUGCACGGAUUAGUUGAACAAAAAUUUUAAAUUUGCUUAAAGUUAGUGGAAGGACCGGAUUUGAGUCCCUGGCCCAAAAGAUAGAUAGACCUAGGCCCAAAAAGUCCAAAACAAUGAAUUUGUAGAGAGUGGGUCGGAAAACUGGGUAAAAAUGAGUUGGAUCACAAAUAAAGUGGGCUCAAUAGACAAGAACAGAGAAAUGGAUUGAAUUAAAUUAGAGAAUAUCGUCCUCGGCACAAUCUGAGGAGAUCAGUUCUUAUAUAUUCCUUACAAGUUUGGUUACAGAGUCGGUUCUU